GACGUAGGGCGCGAGCGUUGUCCGGAUUUAUUGGGCGUAAAGAGCUCGUAGGCGGCUCGUUGCGUCGGCUGUGAAAACCCGCAGCUCAACUGUGGGCUUGCAGCUGAUACGGGCGGGCUGGGAUUCGGUAGGGGAGACUGGAAUUCCUGGUGUAGCGGUGAAAUGCGCAGAUAUCAGGAGGAACACCGGUGGCGAAGGCGGCCAGCUGGCGCUGACCUGACGCUGAGGCGCGAAGGCAUGGGGAGCGAACGGG
rnacentral:rRNA from 1 species